AGCCAAAAUGGUAGUGGGUUAUCAGAACUUAUUAACAUUAGUGUCACUAAAGUUGGUAUACAACCCCCCACUGCUAAAUUUGAUUGGCUUAAA
rnacentral:Y_RNA from 1 species